CACAGUGUAGCAAUACAUGGGUGGCGACCGGCAAACGGGUGCGGAACACGUACGCAACCUUCCUUCAGGCGGGGAAUAGCCCAGAGAAAUUUGGAUUAAUACCCCAUAAUAUUUUGAGAUGGCAUCAUCUUAUUAUUAAAGCUACGGCACCUGGAGAUGGGCGUGCGGCUGAUUAGGUAGUUGGCGGGGUAAUGGCCCACCAAGCCUACGAUCAGUAGCUGAUGUGAGAGCAUGAUCAGCCACACGGGCACUGAGACACGGGCCCGACUCCUACGGGAGGCAGCAGUAAGGAAUAUUGGUCAAUGGACGCAAGUCUGAACCAGCCAUGCCGCGUGGAGGAUGAAGGUCCUCUGGAUUGUAAACUUCUUUUAUCUGGGACGAAAAAAGGGUUUUCUAACUCGUCUGACGGUACCAGAUGAAUAAGCACCGGCUAACUCCGUGCCAGCAGCCGCGGUAAUACGGAGGGUGCAAGCGUUAUCCGGAUUCACUGGGUUUAAAGGGUGCGUAGGCGGGCAUUUAAGUCAGUGGUGAAAUACCUGAGCUUAACUUGGGAACUGCCAUUGAUACUAUUUGUCUUGAAUGUCGUGGAGGUUAGCGGAGUAUGUCAUGUAGCGGUGAAAUGCUUAGAUAUGACAUAGAACACCUAUUGCGAAGGCAGCUAACUACGCGAAUAUUGACGCUGAGGCACGAAAGCGUGGGGAUCAAACAGGAUUAGAUACCCUGGUAGUCCACGCCCUAAACGAUGAUUACUCGACAUUAGCGAUACACUGUUAGUGUCUGAGCG
rnacentral:rRNA from 1 species